CACGCCGUAAACGAUGGAUGCUAGAUGUUUCUGGUAUUGACCCCGGAGGCGUCGUAGCUAACGCGUUAAGCAUCCCGCCUGGGGANCGCGAAGAACCUUACCUGGGUUGGAACCCUCCAGAAGUCCGCAGAGAUGUGGAUGUGCUCGCAAGAGAACUGGAUGUCCAGGUGC
rnacentral:rRNA from 1 species